GGCCCAUUAGCUCAGUUGGUUAGAGCGUCGUGCUAAUAACGCGAAGGUCGUGGGUUCGAUCCCCCCCCCCAUGGGCCA
rnacentral:tRNA from 1 species